UUCUCUCUAGUUGCAGUGGAUGGUCAUUGCAGUGCGUGGGCUUCUCAUUGCGGUGGCUUCUCUUGUUGCUGUGCACAGGUACUAGGUGCUGGGGCUUCAGUAGUUGUCUCACACAGGCUUAGUUGUCCUGGGGCAUGUGGGAUUUUCCCAGACCUGAGACCAAACCCCUGUCCCCUGCAUUGGCAGGUGAAUUCCUAACCACUGAGCCACCACAAAAGCCCAACGUUAGCGUCUAAACCAUAUGCUAUGCUACGUUGCGUCAGUCGUGUCUGACUCUGCAGCCCCAUGGACUGUAACGCACCAUGCUCCCCUGUCCAUGGGAUUCUCCAGGCAAGAAUACUAGAGUGGGUUCAGGGGUUGAACCCACGGCUCAUUAUGUCUCCUGCAUUGGCAAGUGGAUUCUUUACCAUUAGCACCACCUGGGAAACCCAUUUAAACUUUCAAAAAUAAGUGCUUAUUAUAUUCAAGAAAGUAAAUGACAAGAUGGAAAAUUUAGGUGAAGUGAAAACUAAAAAAAAGAACAAAAUGGAAAUACUAGAAUUGAAAAAUAAUAAGUCUUCAGUGAAGGGUUAAAUAAAAAAUUAGAUACAGCUAAAGAGAGACUUAAUCAACUAGAUGAUAGGUUAGAAGAAAAUAUUCAGACUAAAACAUAAAGGAGAAAAAAAGUGAAAAAGGAAAGAGCAUGAGAUGUAUAUGCUAAAACAUUUUACUUUUCCUAUAACUAAAGCCCCACAGGGAGAAGGAAGAGAAUGGGGCUAGAUGACUUUGCACAAGCUACAUAUACUCUUAGCUUCAGCUUCCUUUUUUGUAUAUAGAGGUUUAAUCAUCUACCUAUGGGGUCACUGGAUGGAUUAAAUGAGAUGAUAACAUUUAAAGCAAUAGGUCUAAUACUUUGUACAAGGUGAGUACAGCAGGUGGAAGCUACAGGAUAUUAUCACCAUCGUCAUUGUCAUCAAAAUUAGAAUUCAAGAAGAGUAUGAAGAACAAAGUUAUGUGACUCAACCAGA
ensembl:lncRNA